GAGAGUAAAACAGUACGUGAAAUUGUUGAAAGGGAAACGAUUGAAGUCAGUCAUGCCGGCGUUGGAUUCAGCUUGCUUCGCGGAGCAGGCGCAUUUCCGCGCAUGGCAGGUCAGCGUCAGUUUUGCGCGGCGUGAAAAGGCUCGGGUAAGGUAGCUCUCUUCGGGGAGUGUUAUAGACCUGGGCAGAUGCGCUGCGCGGGACUGAGGAUUGCAGCGGACACCCCCUCGGGGGCGCGGCGACCGAACCCUGCUCGGCCACCCUCGUUCGAUAGCGUGCUAGCGGACGCGGGAGCGGCGGUGCACCGGAACAGGCAAGCCAGCGGUUCGCUAAGGAUGCUGACGUAAUGGCUUUAAACGA
rnacentral:rRNA from 1 species